GCGAGCAGCUUAUUUAUGGUCAAUACAUGAUUUUCCUGCCUAUGGUAACUUUUCUGGAUGGAGCACUCAUGGUAGGCUUGCAUGCCCAGUAUGCUUGUGUGACAGUAAUGCAUUUAAUUUACGUAAUGGCCGCAAAGCAUGUUGGUUUGAUUGCCAUAGGCGCUUCUUACCUAGAGAUCAUGAAUUCAGAUCUCAAGCUAAUGCAUUUAGAAAUAAUACGGUGGUGCAUGAAGAGCCUCCAAGACUAUUAACAGGGGAGGAAGUCCUAGCCCAAAUUAACACAUUGGUGGCUGAUACAAAAAAACUAUGGUAUAUUGCACAAUUGGACCCAUAUUAGUUGAUUUUGGCAACUUCCCUACUUCCAUAAAUUGUUGCUGUGGCACAACAUUGAUGUGAUGCAUAAUGAGAAAAACUUGGGUGAAGCUAUAUGGAAUACAUGCUUCGACAUACCUGAGAAGACUAAAGAUAAUGCUAAGGCUAGAAAAGAUUUAUCUCAAAUUUGUAAUCGUCCCUCACAGCAUUUGAAGCUAAAGACAACUGGAAAAUGGGACAAGCCUAGAGCCCCAUUUUGCAUUGAUAAGAAUGACAAGCCAACAAUCCUUAAGUGGUUUCAAGAACUCAAGUUUCCUGAUGGCUAUGCAGCCAACAUUAGAAAAGGGAUGAACUUGAAUUCAAGGAAGAUAUUUGGGCUAAAGAGCCAUGAUUAUCACAUCUUCAUGGAGUGAUUACUUCAUGUUGCAUUUCGUGGCUUCCUUCCAGAAAAUGUAUGGAUGUGUUUGGCUGAGCUAAGCUUUUUCUACCGGCAGUUGUGUGCCAAAGAGUUGAGGAAAGAUACGAUAUGCUCACUGGAACAGCACGUCGUUGUUCUUCUUUGCAAAAUGGAGAAGAUAUUUCCUCCAUGUUUCUUUAACCCUAUGCAGCAUCUGAUUGUUUAUCUUCCUUAUGAGGCUAGACUAGGAGGUCCUGUCCAAGCUUGUUGGAACUAUCCAUUUGAAAGGUAAAAAAAUAGAAGAAAACAUUAUUAUGCUUUGUUCUAUGAUUCUUUCCUUACUUCUUUUUAUAUCCUGUAGGAAAAUCCAACAACUUAGGAAAAAAGUGUGAAAUAGGGCUCGUGUUGAGGGUUGCAUCGUCGAUGCUGAAUUAGUUGAGGAGGCUAUUUUAAUACUGUUUGGUGGCAGAAUGCCAAUAUGAGUUGCAGCAGUGAACAAGUGGCUUCCUGUUGAUUAGAAAUGGCAGUCUUAGAUUUAAUUCCAUGGCUGUUGGCUCAUCACAUGGAGGCUCUCACUCAGUUGAUAGGCGCGAUGAAAGCGACGAUGAUGACACUUACAAUGAAAGCGAUGCCGACAACGAUGACGACGACGAUGAUGUCGAUGAUGAUGCCUCCUUUGAAGGAAAUGAUGAAGCCAAUCCCUACCUAGAAGAUGACGUUGAUGGCGAGCGACCCAUCGAAGGAGAUGUUGAUGAUGAGAGAGCUGUCGAAGGCUAUUCAUGAUCAGUAACCAUGACUGUGACCUCAACUAAAGCAAGCAACCCCUACUGACUGGAGGAUGUGGUGUUGACUGUUGGCUUAUUUUGGUAGAUACUGCAUAUGCUAGCCUGAUCUUUUGCUACUGUAUUUUGUGCAUGUGAUGUGACAUGUAGGCAUGAUACAAUAUUUGCCACAGAUUAUAUGUAGGCAUGAUGCAUGCAUAUGGACUUGUGAUGAACUAAUGGAUGUAUGAUUUAUAUAUUGCUUCAACGAUCAUAUAAUCCAAUUUGGAUCUAUAUUGAAUUC